UUGAAAGGGAAACGAUUGAAGUCAGUCGUACCGGCGGGAAAUCAGCUUCUCGAGUGGGGGUUCGUGGGUGCGUUGAGCUUCGGCCUUCGUCGCUUGUGAUUAUUCCUUUGCUUCUGGGGCGUACUUUUUCGUAUGGUAGGCCAACAUCAGUUUCGAAUACCAUAAAAUGACCGGCGGAAUGUAGCUUCGAUCUCGUAUUGAAGUGUUAUAGCCUCUGGUAGAUGUGGUGUUUGGGACUGAGGAUUGCAACGAAUAUCCUUUGGGCUAUCCGUCUGAUCUCUGAAAGUUGCUUAGGUGCCGAAAGCGUGCUUACGGUUAUUUAAGUUGACGGUCAAAAGGUUAGAACGUGAUUACAUUCGUUAAGGAUGUUGACGUA
rnacentral:rRNA from 1 species